CAAAAGAAGAGAUAUUCUUUUUCUUGAAAGAACGUCUCUGCCUUCUCUCUCUUUCAACAGAUCUCCAGGCCUCCACUAAGAACCAGCCAUAUGUCCCACUAUUGACAGAUGCACGUCACAAAAGAAAUAAUACCCACGCAUACCUCACGGAUCAGGAGGAUUUGUUUUUGAAAAAAAACCUAUUUUCCACUCAAAGGGUAGAUAAUAAUACUCUCUGAUCUUACUUUGAAGGUGGUGGCAGAAAUAACCUUCACCCACUUCAACCACCACCAACUCAAUCACCAUGUAAAAGUGAAACCCUCCGAACAACCGUCCACACCACCACGUCCAUCACAACCUUCCUCCGACGAGCACCCUAAACCGCCUCACGGCGUCGCCGUUCCUUUCCUUAAACUAACACCUCCGCUCUUCACCACUAAAAAACCCACAGAUCCUCCGCUGAUCUGCAACAAGUGAUUUGAACCACCAUGAAUCCACUUAUCUCAACCACAUACUUCCUCCAAUUCAUCACUAUCACCUCUGUUACACCUCAAAUCCACGCCAUCUCAUUACCUACAGCACCUCAACCUCUCUUCCAUUUUCCGACAACCUACUAGAAUCCACCGUCACUCGCUUGUAUUUUCAACUCUUUCCACCAUAAAUCACCUUAACUUCUUCUACUUUAAAUAACAACAAAACCGUGAUUCCCACCUGCAUAAAUCCAACAACAUAAACAUAAACGUCUUCAUCCUUCCGUUUAUCUUUCUGCAAACCUCAACAACAAUCCUACAACAAUCACACCAUUGUGCUUUUUCCGGCAAGCCCACUCACGACUCCGCAAUACUAUCGAUCUCCCACCACCGCCUGAACAACGCGCCGCCUUCUGUUGACGAAAGUAGAGCUUACGAGAAAAGGGCAUUUUCACUAAGAAGCGUAUUUAGGGAUCCGACUCGUGAUGACGUGUUUUAGAUGAUGCUGCUCAGUUUCAUUUCCAGCAUGGUGGCGAUCCAUCGGAGAAAUUUGUUUGCUUGCAUCUUGUGGAGAAAAUUUGCAGAAAACCGAUGGAAAAAGUGGUUCGAAUACGAGGUGCAUAUGGUAAGAUUCCAGACCGCACUUUAGGAUGGAGCGCAUCUUCAUCUACAGCAGAGUCGGCUGGAUAUCUAGGAGGGCCGUACGAUAGUCUCUUUUGGUGAAGUACGAGCAUCAUGUUGCUCGCCAUUUAUGGUUUGGUAAGGUAUCUUCUGGAGUCCCCAGGAUGUCACGGAAGAGGUAGCUUUUGAACUUGCUGUUGACUACUUAGGAGUGUCACAGGGUGAGACACAAUCACAUGUUCGUAGCUGCAAGGGUUCAUUUUAUAAGUUGGAGUGGUUAUACGAUUUAUUCAUAUAACAUAGAGCUGCUUCCAGCUGGGCAUAUGCGACCAGAUCAUAUCUGUUGAUGUUGGUCGGUUCCACCAUUUUUGCCGAUAAGACCUUUACCCUAUACAGAUAUCUUGGAGAUGCGUCCAUGUUCAGUUGCAAACAACUCGUGCUGGAUUCACAAGUACUUUCCAACUGUUGGAAAAAGAUGGGAGAAUUGGAAACCAGUUGAUAAUUAUGGUCUUCCUCGAGCGAUGGGAUGGUGCUAUAGGCAAGGAGUCCUGAAGGUUGAUGAUUUACGACCUAAUUUGGACGAGCUGACACCUGCCGACGUCAUAUGACGUCCAUUUGAGGAUCAUAGAGCACGGCGUCAGUUUGAUGAGUUAUAUCUCUAUAGGGGAUGUUUGAAGUGGGGUGAGACAGUUGUUUCAUACUUGCCUGACAGAUGUUUACGUCAGUUCGGGUACAUGCGGUAUGUUCCAUUCCCACCUCUUGAUUGUAUGAUGACGACUGAUAUUGAUGUUGAUGGGAUUGGUUACCAUCAGAGCGUUAUCGCUGUGAUUCGUCAAACUACCCUGGCCACCACUCCAUCUGAUGUAGAAGAUGGUUAUCUGGAGUGGUAUUAUUGUGUUUUGCAUCCACGGUUGGUCCCUUCCCAUCGUGACGAUCCAAGAGAGGUACCAGUUCCUGUUUAUGACGUCGGACUAUCUGAUCCUGAUUAGGCUCGUGUAUCUACAUUGAUUCAUCGUUAUCUGAGACAGGU